AUUCUAUAACCUACUAAAAGUUAUGUCCAAUUUGUGCCCCCCUAGAACUGCUGCUGCCAAAAUGGCCCUGUAAUGUGUAUGUUAGAUAAGUGCAAGGAGAUUCUCAUGGCUAAUCCCUUGUAAGUAUCAUUAAGCUUUAAAUGAUUGAUAGAAUUUUAUGAUACUGUGACUUUUAAUUUCUACUUGUUUUAAUUGUAAUUUACCAUAAAAUCAUUUCAUGAGUUUAUGAAUGAUGACGAUUAUUUGUACUAAUUGAUGGAGCCACCCACGGACUCGAUAAAUAGCUUUGCAGUGCAGUCUGGGUAAUCUGCCCCUGAGGAAGUAUCUGAGAUACGAAACGCGUUGGGCUAAUGUUUGUUCGUUUCAAAAUAUUAAAUAAAUUAACCAUUUCAGCAAGAUAAAGCUGCAAUCCUAAUUUCUUGUUAUGUGCGACCCAAAGAAGGAUCCAAAGAAAACCCGACAUCUAUCAGUGAAACUCCCGUGUGCUAAAAAUAAAAGAUUGUCUCCCGCACACCGGCAUUACAGCAAUGGAUUCCCCUUGGCAACAGGCAGCGACAUGUACAACCGGCAACAAGAGACGAUCGCUACUACCAAUCAGGACUGCGCGUAUAAUUCAUUAAGGGCCGACUGCAUGUGAGAGUCGCUAAGUGCAAUUACCCGCAGACGAUUCUUCAAUUCCUGACGGUACUUCACUCUCCUCAGUUUAAAGCAACAGGUACAGUGAGCGCUGGGGACAGACGGAAGACGAGCCCUGCUCCCAUAUAAAAGGCAAACACAUGGGCAUCUAAGUCAACGGCACUUCCUGCUUUAUGGUGGUCAGCGAGUCGCGGAUCAGUUUGCAGAUCAGGCAGUUGCGGGUCAGUGAGGCGUGGGACGCCAAGAGAAUCCAGCUCCCAGAGACAGAUCCAUGGGCCGCCUGUAUUGCAAAGAAGGCUAGCGGUCCGGACUUCCCCCGCUGAGAGCCGAUAGGCCCCCGUGACAAUUGCACCUUCACAUCAAUGACCUUGGGUGCCGCUGGCCAGGCUUUGGGUGUACAGAACGUUCAAGCAAGAGAUGGGGUAUGUAGGACAGAAAAUAGACAUCCACCAAAAGUCUUAACCUACUUGGCCUUCAAGAUGAUCUUUCAGUGACAUUUAUGAAAAUAGACACCCAACAUCUUAUCCUAACUGGCCUUCAAACUUGGCAUUCAGGGGUACUUAGGAGAACAAAUAUGCUUUCUCCCCAAAUCUCACCCUAGCUACCCUUCAGGCUUUCAUCUGUCACUGCCCCCAAGGGUGUCAAGCUCUACAGUCUGGGAACCUCAGAUAAGAACCCAACACAACUUUGCCACACACACACACCAUCGGAAACCACAACGCGUCUCUGAGCAACGUUUGCACGGAUAGAAGACUAAAAGCUCAUUAGAAUCUCCCGGCAGAAUAAUUAUUUCCACGUUAUUGCGUGUGAUUAUUGAAUGGGAGUCCAUAGAGCAGACUGACGAGGAUUCACUUCUAUCAGCAAAGACACAUUUUCUCCUCCACAAUAAAUGGGUUUGUUUGUCAACUGUAACACACUGGGCACGAGGGACUAUAAUUUAUCUGCCUUUUACCCCAAUGGAGCAUCCAAGUGUUGGAGAGCUGAUUGGUGCCAUUUUCCCUGUGCUCCCAGGCAGGGCAGUCCUAAGAG